CAGUCGCCGCGGGAAUACGUAGGUGGCAAGCGUUGUCCGGAAUUAUUGGGCGUAAAGGGCUCGCAGGCGGUUUCUUAAGUCUGAUGUGAAAGCCCCCGGCUCAACCGGGGAGGGUCAUUGGAAACUGGGAAACUUGAGUGCAGAAGAGGAGAGUGGAAUUCCACGUGUAGCGGUGAAAUGCGUAGAGAUGUGGAGGAACACCUGUGGCGAAGGCGACUCUCUGGUCUGUAACUGACGCUGAGGAGCGAAAGCGUGGGGAGCGAACAGGAUUAGAUACCCCUGUAGUCCCUGUCUCUUAUAU
rnacentral:rRNA from 1 species